rfam:Rhizobium sp. NT-26 chromosome, complete genome.
GCACGUACGUUGGGAGAAGCCGCUUCAUUGCGGUGCCGAAGGAGCAACCGCCCCGGAAACUCUCAGGCAAAAGGACCAGCGCACGGCC